UUAAGUUAUUAAGGGCGCACGGUGGAUGCCUUGGCACUAGAAGCCGAUGAAGGACGUUACUAACGACGAUAUGCUUUGGGGAGCUGUAAGUAAGCUUUGAUCCAGAGAUUUCCGAAUGGGGAAACCCAGCAUGAGUUAUGUCAUGUUAUCGAUAUGUGAAUACAUAGCAUAUCAGAAGGCACACCCGGAGAACUGAAACAUCUUAGUACCCGGAGGAAGAGAAAGAAAAUUCGAUUCCCUUAGUAGCGGCGAGCGAAACGGGAAGAGCCCAAACCAACAAGCUUGCUUGUUGGGGUUGUAGGACACUCUAUACGGAGUUACAAAGGACGACAUUAGACGAAUCAUCUGGAAAGAUGAAUCAAAGAAGGUAAUAAUCCUGUAGUCGAAAAUGUUGUCUCUCUUGAGUGGAUCCUGAGUACGACGGAGCACGUGAAAUUCCGUCGGAAUCUGGGAGGACCAUCUCCUAAGGCUAAAUACUCUCUAGUGACCGAUAGUGAACCAGUACCGUGAGGGAAAGGUGAAAAGCACCCCGGAAGGGGAGUGAAAUAGAACCUGAAACCGUGUGCUUACAAGUAGUCAGAGCCCGUUAAUGGGUGAUGGCGUGCCUUUUGUAGAAUGAACCGGCGAGUUACGAUUUGAUGCAAGGUUAAGCAGUAAAUGUGGAGCCGUAGCGAAAGCGAGUCUGAAUAGGGCGUUUAGUAUUUGGUCGUAGACCCGAAACCAGGUGAUCUACCCUUGGUCAGGUUGAAGUUCAGGUAACACUGAAUGGAGGACCGAACCGACUUACGUUGAAAAGUGAGCGGAUGAACUGAGGGUAGCGGAGAAAUUCCAAUCGAACCUGGAGAUAGCUGGUUCUCUCCGAAAUAGCUUUAGGGCUAGCCUCAAGUGAUGAUUAUUGGAGGUAGAGCACUGUUUGGACGAGGGGCCCCUCUCGGGUUACCGAAUUCAGACAAACUCCGAAUGCCAAUUAAUUUAACUUGGGAGUCAGAACAUGGGUGAUAAGGUCCGUGUUCGAAAGGGAAACAGCCCAGACCACCAGCUAAGGUCCCAAAAUAUAUGUUAAGUGGAAAAGGAUGUGGCGUUGCCCAGACAACUAGGAUGUUGGCUUAGAAGCAGCCAUCAUUUAAAGAGUGCGUAAUAGCUCACUAGUCGAGUGACACUGCGCCGAAAAUGUACCGGGGCUAAACAUAUUACCGAAGCUGUGGAUUGUCCUUUGGACAAUGGUAGGAGAGCGUUCUAAGGGCGUUGAAGCAUGAUCGUAAGGACAUGUGGAGCGCUUAGAAGUGAGAAUGCCGGUGUGAGUAGCGAAAGACGGGUGAGAAUCCCGUCCACCGAUUGACUAAGGUUUCCAGAGGAAGGCUCGUCCGCUCUGGGUUAGUCGGGUCCUAAGCUGAGGCCGACAGGCGUAGGCGAUGGAUAACAGGUUGAUAUUCCUGUACCACCUAUAAUCGUUUUAAUCGAUGGGGGGACGCAGUAGGAUAGGCGAAGCGUGCGAUUGGAUUGCACGUCUAAGCAGUAAGGCUGAGUAUUAGGCAAAUCCGGUACUCGUUAAGGCUGAGCUGUGAUGGGGAGAAGACAUUGUGUCUUCGAGUCGUUGAUUUCACACUGCCGAGAAAAGCCUCUAGAUAGAAAAUAGGUGCCCGUACCGCAAACCGACACAGGUAGUCAAGAUGAGAAUUCUAAGGUGAGCGAGCGAACUCUCGUUAAGGAACUCGGCAAAAUGACCCCGUAACUUCGGGAGAAGGGGUGCUCUUUAGGGUUAACGCCCAGAAGAGCCGCAGUGAAUAGGCCCAAGCGACUGUUUAUCAAAAACACAGGUCUCUGCUAAACCGUAAGGUGAUGUAUAGGGGCUGACGCCUGCCCGGUGCUGGAAGGUUAAGAGGAGUGGUUAGCUUCUGCGAAGCUACGAAUCGAAGCCCCAGUAAACGGCGGCCGUAACUAUAACGGUCCUAAGGUAGCGAAAUUCCUUGUCGGGUAAGUUCCGACCCGCACGAAAGGCGUAACGAUUUGGGCACUGUCUCAACGAGAGACUCGGUGAAAUCAUAGUACCUGUGAAGAUGCAGGUUACCCGCGACAGGACGGAAAGACCCCGUGGAGCUUUACUGUAGCCUGAUAUUGAAAUUCGGCACAGCUUGUACAGGAUAGGUAGGAGCCUUUGAAACGUGAGCGCUAGCUUACGUGGAGGCGCUGGUGGGAUACUACCCUAGCUGUGUUGGCUUUCUAACCCGCACCACUUAUCGUGGUGGGAGACAGUGUCAGGCGGGCAGUUUGACUGGGGCGGUCGCCUCCUAAAAGGUAACGGAGGCGCUCAAAGGUUCCCUCAGAAUGGUUGGAAAUCAUUCAUAGAGUGUAAAGGCAUAAGGGAGCUUGACUGCGAGACCUACAAGUCGAGCAGGGUCGAAAGACGGACUUAGUGAUCCGGUGGUUCCGCAUGGAAGGGCCAUCGCUCAACGGAUAAAAGCUACCCCGGGGAUAACAGGCUUAUCUCCCCCAAGAGUUCACAUCGACGGGGAGGUUUGGCACCUCGAUGUCGGCUCAUCGCAUCCUGGGGCUGUAGUCGGUCCCAAGGGUUGGGCUGUUCGCCCAUUAAAGCGGUACGCGAGCUGGGUUCAGAACGUCGUGAGACAGUUCGGUCCCUAUCCGUCGUGGGCGUAGGAAAUUUGAGAGGAGCUGUCCUUAGUACGAGAGGACCGGGAUGGACAUACCUCUGGUGUACCAGUUGUCGUGCCAACGGCAUAGCUGGGUAGCUAUGUGUGGACGGGAUAAGUGCUGAAAGCAUCUAAGCAUGAAGCCCCCCUCAAGAUGAGAUUUCCCAACUUCGGUUAUAAGAUCCCUCAAAGAUGAUGAGGUUAAUAGGUUCGAGGCGGAAGCAUGGUGACAUGUGGAGCUGACGAAUACUAAUCGAUCGAAGACUUAAUCAA
rnacentral:rRNA from 1 species